rnacentral:rRNA from 1 species
UACGGAGGGAGCUAGCGUUGUUCGGAAUUACUGGGCGUAAAGCGCACGUAGGCGGCUUUGUAAGUCAGAGGUGAAAGCCCGGGGCUCAACCCCGGAAUUGCCUUUAAGACUGCAUCGCUUGAAUCCAGGAGAGGUGAGUGGAAUUCCGAGUGUAGAGGUGAAAUUCGUAGAUAUUCGGAAGAACACCAGUGGCGAAGGCAGUUAACUAUUCGGUACCUGACGGUUGAGGCACGAAAGCGUGGGGAGCAAGACGG